rnacentral:pre_miRNA from 1 species
AAUAAUGUUUAACCGUUAGUCUUAUUUGAAAUUUUUUUAUAAUUAAUAUUUUUAUUGUUAUUAGAUGAUAAAACAUGAAUAAUACUUUGUGUAAAUAAUUUUUUUAACUUCUAUAAAUUUUUCUUAUUUUUUAAAUAAGAUGGAUGGUCAAACAUUGGACACGGAUACCUAUAGCUGUACUU